rnacentral:rRNA from 1 species
CGCGCAGGCGGCCAGGUCAGUCGAAUGUGAAAGCCCCCGGCUCAACUGGGGAGGGUCAUUCGAUACUGCCUGGCUCGAAGAUAGGAGAGGGAAGCGGAAUUUCAGGUGUAGUGGUGAAAUGCGUAGAUAUCUGAAGGAACACCAGUGGCGAAGGCGGCUUUCUGGCCUAUUCUUGACGCUGAGGCGCGAAAGCUAGGGGAGCGAACG